rnacentral:rRNA from 1 species
UACAGAGGCCUCGAGCGUUAGGCGGAAUCACUGGGCGUAAAGGGCGCGUAGGCGGCUCAUGAAGGCUGUGGUGAAAGUCCGGGGCUCAACCUCGGAUCGGCCGUGGCGACUCGUGGGCUGGAGCACUGUAGAGGCGGGUGGAAUUCCGGGUGUAGCGGUGGAAUGCGUAGAGAUCCGGAAGAACACCAGUGGCGAAGGCGGCCCGCUGGGCAGUGGCUGACGCUGAGGCGCGACAGCGUGGGGAGCAAACAGG